UACACAGCAGUCGUUGGAAAACUUGAAAGGUAUAUAAAGGGUGAAAAGAUUGGCAAACAAGUUUCUUCCAACCAAUCCGCCCUUAAAGAGGCCCGAGUUAAAGUUGGCAAACAAAAAUCACGGGAAAAUCGAAAAGUUCUCAAAGCCCUUAGCAAGGACCAAGGGGUAUGCACCGAGAAGGAAGAACUGGCUAUAGCUCGCUCCAUCAUUUCUCCAAGCAUCGAAACAAGGAAAAAGAACUCUGAGGCUUUACAUACUAGAUCGUGUGUUCGUGUUGCCACUUCCAAGUCUCGACGUAAAAGCUCGUUCGGAGAAGACCUUCAGUCAGCACAGUAUGUCUUUGCGAAUGCUCCUGCUAAGUAUGCUCAGAUUAUACAUACUGAAGGAGAAGAGCCGAAAGAAUCGAUCCAAAAAGACUUUAGCAGCGAAGCUGUUAAGUCUGACCUCUCACAGUAAGGCCUGGUUCAACUUUCAAUUCUGGAUCACUGGAAAUCUCAUUCCCCUUUUUAACGUUUCAUGAAGGAUCUUUGCAACGUUUACUAACCUUCUAUCAUUUCUACGUUUUUUAAAGACUUUUUUUUU